GACGAACGCUGGCGGCGUGCCUAAUACAUGCAAGUAGAACGCACAGUUUAUACCGUAGCUUGCUACACCAUAGACUGUGAGUUGCGAACGGGUGAGUAACGCGUAGGUAACCUGCCUGGUAGCGGGGGAUAACUAUUGGAAACGAUAGCUAAUACAGCAUAAUAUUGAUUAUUGCAUGAUAAUUAAUUGAAAGGUGCAAUUGCACCACUACCAGAUGGACCUGCGUUGUAUUAGCUAGUAGGGGAGGUAACGGCUCACCUAGGCGACGAUACAUAGCCGACCUGAGAGGGGUGUCGGCCACACUGGGACUGGGACACGGCCCAGACUCCUACGGGAGGCAGCAGUAGGGAAUCUUCGGCAAUGGACGAAAGUCUGACCGAGCAACGCCGCGGGAGUGAAGAAGGUUUUCGGAUCGUAAAGCUCUGUUGUAAGAGAAGAACGGGUGUGAGAGUGAAAAGUUCACACUGUGACGGUAUCUUACCAGAAAGGGACGGCUAACUACGUG
rnacentral:rRNA from 1 species